rnacentral:rRNA from 1 species
UGUGGGGUGCUCGAGUGGCGAACGGGUGAGUAACACGUGAGUAACCUUCCCUUGACUUUGGGAUAACUUCAGGAAACUGGGGCUAAUACCGGAUAGGAGCUCCUGCUGCAUGGUGGGGGUUGGAAAGUUUCGGCGGUUGGGGAUGGACUCGCGGCUUAUCAGCUUGUUGGUGGGGUAGUGGCUUACCAAGGCUUUGACGGGUAGCCGGCCUGAGAGGGUGACCGGCCACAUUGGGACUGAGAUACGGCCCAG